rnacentral:rRNA from 1 species
CAGUCGCCGCGGUAAUACGUAGGUGGCAAGCGUUGUCCGGAAUUAUUGGGCGUAAAGGGCUCGCAGGCGGUUUCUUAAGUCUGAUGUGAAAGCCCCCGGCUCAACCGGGGAGGGUCAUUGGAAACUGGGAAACUUGAGUGCAGAAGAGGAGGGUGGAAUUCCACGUGUAGCGGUGAAAUGCGUAGAGAUGUGGAGGAACACCAGUGGCGAAGGCGACUCUCUGGUCUGUAACUGACGCUGAGGAGCGAAAGCGUGGGGAGCGAACAGGAUUAGAUACCCGAGUAGUCCCUGUCUCUUAUAA